rnacentral:ncRNA from 1 species
UUCCUGUUCUACUGCCUGACAGCAAUCACUCCCUUGCACUGCAUGAAAUAUGUAUGUAGUCACAACACUAAUGGCAGUAAUAGCAGUGGCCCCUACACCAACAUUGAUGAAAAAUAAUAAUACAGGACUCUUUCGAGGCCCUGUAAUUAGAAUGAGACACUUUAAAUCCUUGAGCAAGGAUCCAUUGAAGGGCAAGUCCGGUGCCAGCAGCCAUGGUAAUUCCAGCUCCAAUAGCGUAUUUUAAAGUUGCUGCAGUUAAAAAGCUUGUAGUUGGAUCUUGGGAUCGAGCUGGUGGUCCAUCGCAAGGCGAGCCACUGCCUGUCCCAGCCCCUGCCUCUCAGCACCCCCUUGAUGCUCUUAGCUGAGUGUCCUGCAGGGCCUGAAGCAUUUGAGAAAAUUAGAGUGUUCAAAGCAGGCUGGCUGCUGGCAUACUGCAGCUAGGAAUAAUGGAAUAGGACUCCGGUUCUAUUUUGUUGAAUCUUUUUUAUUAUUUUUAGGUCCCAUCCUUAGAAACAUUGAAGGUCAGGUUGGAUGGGGCUCUGAGCAACCUGCUCUAGUUAAAGCUGUCCCUGCUCACUG